GUGUGUUUGUGAUUCUUUGAUGUUUCCCAAUGCAGUCCAGUUUCCAGGAUUGAGGUAACGUCUUCAUUUUCAUUUGGCUUCGGGAUAUUAAAAAAAGACAAGGUAUCUCAUUUCAACUUGGAAGAGAAAUCUUAUCUUCUGAACAUAACUGUUCUAAGACAGUUUACAUCUUUUAUCUGUUAUUCAUGUAUGCAUUCUUAAUAUAUAGAUAAAUGCAUAUUAAAACAAAACACGCUUUCGGUAAACAUAACAGAUACUUGUUGGUCUAAAACAGGACUAUAAUAUUCAUGUUCAGCUUGGGAAUAAGAGUGCCUUAAAGAUCUUUCAGUUAAAACUAUCAAAGUAGCCCUUGAACAUGCCGUUUUAACUUUUAUAGAACUCAGUGGAAAUCAUACUCUGAAGAACAAACUUCUGUCCUAUAUGUAAAUACUGGGAUUUCUGAACAAAAAAAAAAUAAUUAAAUCUAAUUUUCUGUUGUCAACUGGAGCAGUUAAAACAUAAAAAUUUUAGCUGAUAGUACAGGUAGUGCUUAUUACGGCAUGAUAUAUUUAAGAUACAUUGACCGUGGCUUUUGCAAUUGAAUGAAAAUCAGAUUUAAUACAAAC